CUUUUUUUCUUCUAUUAUUAGGUUGACUUUUGGUUAAUUGACUAUUGGUAAGACAAGAUUUAACCCUUACUGUAUAUAUAUCCAUCCUCCAGACCAAAACCAUACAUCAGCUACACAGAACAGUCAAAAUAUUGCCAGUAGUGGUAUCUGUGCUUGGUCAGAACACAAAAAGUGCAA